rnacentral:sRNA from 1 species
UCCUCGGCCUGCUGCGGGGUGACGUAGUGGAUGUGCGAGUCCACCCCGCCGGCGGUGAGGAUCCGGUGCUCCCCGGAGAUCACCUCGGUGGCCGCCCCGAUCACCAGCUCCGGGUCCACCCCGUCCUGGGUGUGCGGGUUGCCGGCCUUGCCGAUGCCCGCGAUCCGGCCGUCCCGGAUCCCGACGUCGCCCUUGACCACCCCGGCGACCGCGUCCACCACGAUCACGUCGGUGAUCACCAGGUCCAGCGCCCCGUCGGCGUGGGUGGCCGUCGGGUCCUGGGCCAUCCCGUCGCGGA